rnacentral:rRNA from 1 species
AACGAACGCUGGCGGCAUGCCUAACACAUGCAAGUCGAACGAAGUCUUCGGACUUAGUGGCGCACGGGUGCGUAACGCGUGGGAAUCUGCCCUUGGGUACGGAAUAACUCAGAGAAAUUUGUGCUAAUACCGUAUAAUGUCUUCGGACCAAAGAUUUAUCGCCCAAGGAUGGGCCCGCGUAAGAUUAGCUAGUUGGUGGGGUAAAAGCCUACCAAGGCGACGAUCUUUAGCUGGUCUGAGAGGAUGAUCAGCCACACUGGGACUGAGACACGGCCCAGACUCCUACGGGAGGCAGCAGUGGGGAAUAUUGGACAAUGGGCGAAAGCCUGAUCCAGCAAUGCCGCGUGAGUGAUGAAGGCCCUAGGGUUGUAAAGCUCUUUUACCAGGGAUGAUAAUGACAGUACCUGGAGAAUAAGCGCCGGCUAACUCCGUG